GUUGGAAACACAUUUUCUGAGAAUCUGCAAGGGGACAUUUUGGAGCCCAUUGAGGCCUGUGGGGAAAAAUAUGGUAUACCUAGGUUUGAAAUACUCUUUUUAAAGGAUCUAUGAAGAAAUAUUUUGAAGUUAAUUGAGGCCCAUGGAAAAAAUAAACGAAUAUCUUCAGAUUGGAAAAACUCUUUUUGGAGAAUUUGUGAAGGGACUUUUUGGAGUCCACUGAGCUGUUGAAUAACUGAAUAUCCCCAGAAAAACAGUGGAAUCUAUCUGUGAAACUGCUUUGUGAUGUGUGGAUUCAUCUCACAGAGUUAAUCCUUUCGUUUGAUUCCGCACGUUUGGAGCACUCCUUUUGGACAAUCUGGAACAAUAUAUUUUGGUCCAUUGAAGCCAAUGAAGGAAAAAAAGGAGUAUCCCUAGGCAAAACCUAAAAAGAAGCUAUCUGUGAAAAUGCUUUGUGAUGUUUGGAUUCAUGUCCCAGAGUUAAACUUUUCUUUUUAUUCAGCAGGUUGGAAACACUCUUUUUGAACAAUCUGCAAAGGGAAACUGGGGAGGCCAUGGAAACCCAUAAGGAAAAACAGAAUAUUACCAGAUAAAAAUCAAUAAAAACUAUCUGUGAAACUGCUUUA